CUACGUCUGGAAGUGAUAAGCGCUGAAGGCAUCUAAGCGCGAAACAUACCUUAAGAUAAGAUUUCCCAUCGUAAGAGUAAGACCCCAGAUAGACUAUCUGGUUGAUAGGUCACAGGUGUAAGGGCAGCAAUGUCUUCAGCUUAGUGAUACUAAUAGGUCGAGGACUUGACCAAAA
rnacentral:rRNA from 1 species